CUUGGACACCUCCUGUCUUUAAAAGCAAUUCACAAAAGAGAACUCCAGAAAUAUUUUGAGAAGUGGCUGCUGCAUUAAAAUACAGGACUCAGACAUGGCCUUCCUUUGGGGAACAUGAACAGAUCCUGUUGGAGCUGCAGCCCUAAUGACUUGCACACUUGGAACCGAGGGCUGGCAGGGUGGACAGCCAAGGAGAUGGAGCUCACCCCGUGGACCCCGGAGCUGACAGAAGCGAGGUCAGCAGCGCUGGCUCUGGAGAGACCUUGGAGACCGCCUAGCCAGCAGUUCUCCACCCUGGCUGCACCUAGACUCACCUGGGAGCUUUAAAAAAGAUACCCGUGUCUGAUUCCACCCCGGAAGCUUACUUGAACUGUCUCGGCUACACAAAAUCUGUUUUGGAGACAACUCAUCAAAUUCAACUGGAUGUUUUAAUUUCUGUAACUCUCUUCCAAAAGGAAAUCUAAGCUUUUGUUGAACACCUAGACGGAUGCCAUUUCAUUUUUGGAAACUUCCAGGAGUUCCCUGGUUACCGUGUCCCAGAUGGCCAAGGGAGGGGCUGCCAUUCAGGAUCCCGAACCUGGCGUUCCGGCCAGAACUGAACACUUCUCUGGGCGUACAGAGAGAAGGAACCCUUCCUCGCAUUUGGCUCUCCCUGGGCCUCACCACAUGAGCAGCAGAGCUGUGAAGACAGCAGGAAGGGCCCUUGGCUGCCACUGUAAAUAUUAUCAUUGCCUUUGGUAUGCAGAAAAGCAAGAGGAGCAGCAUUUGCUGCUUCCAGGUGGCAGACGGACAAAACUGAGAGCAGAGGGGGAGAAGCUGGAAGGGUGUCUGGGAAAAAAAGAGAUCAAUAAAACCUCACUAGUGUGCAAUAUUUACUAUAAACAGCCCAAGGUUGUUUGGGGUAUGGAAAACUGUCAACAUAGAUCAGUUCUUCCUCAGUGACUGUGGGAGCAGGUGUUCCAGAAAGAAGAAUGAAGAUGGCAGCCGUGGUGGGAUCAAUGAUCAGACUCUGAUUACAGCGAAGUCACUGAAUGUUAAUGUGGACCGGCAGCCAGUGCCACAGCGCGCAGGGCCCCCUGCCAUUUUUAAAACACACAUUUCAAGAUUCUGGACUGCCGCAAUGUGUAAAUACUUUCAGACCGUGGACUAUUUCCUCAAUUCUUCAGCAGAAUUUUUCCAAAGUACACAAAUGUUAGUAAUGAAGCUAGUUUGGGGCCAAGAAAACUUAACUGACAAAAAGUGCAGAAAGGCCUGGGUAAGACAAAAAAGGCAGGCAUACUUUGCUCUGUAACGUCUCAAGAUGCUCAGAGAAGUGACUAGAAAUGCUUCUCCAUGCAGCUUUUUGCAAAAGCAUUUGAGAGAGCCUCUUUCUUAACAGUUAAGCUCGUGGAGGAUGAAGGACCUUUCUGGCAAUUUAGGGUGAACUUUCUUCCUCUCCUUUCUCCCCUACUCUAUCUGCUUUUGAAUGACAGACUAACCUGGAUCCUGAAGCCAGAUUUAAAAUUCCUAGAAUUUUAAUUUGAUCUCUUACUGUUCGAUAAUGAAAGAACAAUAUUUCUUUAGAGGUGAGUGCCCUGUGCUGGAAGCUGCCCUGGGGUUGGGGGAAAAGCAGAGUCUUCAGGGCCCAGGGGAAGAGAAUAAAACUCAAAGGGAAAACAAUUGGGGUUAUAGUUGGGGAGUUAGACAGUAGUAACAAUUGUCUUUUGCUUGCCUAGAAAGUUUUUCCUAACUCCUUAAUUCCAGAAACAUGCCGUGUUGCCCUGACCAUGGGGUAAGUGUGUAUUCCAGACCUGGCUGAUCACUAUAUGCCAUCUUCCUGACAACUGGGAUCAGUUCAAGGGUUGGGCCCAUGCCGCAAACAAGGCCUCGCUGAGGUCUGGUAUAUAAACAUGAAGUAAGCGUCCAUGAUUGCUAAAUGGGAGGAUAUGAAUUUGAGUCUCUUGGAAACCAUGUUAUCACCUGCCACAUGGAGAAUUAAAAUAAAGCCAAGAGACAGGCGGAUGGAUGGCUGCAUGAAUGAAGAGAGAAAGAGUCCCGCUAGCUUGGAGUCAACCGACUCUCUCUCCUUGCAGCCCAGGUGGAAUCUAUCAGCAAGUGCUUUCAUCUUCCCCUUUGAAAUAGAACCAGAUCCUGAAGAUGUGAUGACAUCUCAUUAUCCCCGCCAUGACAACCUUAGUUCCACCAGCACAGUGUCUCCCCUGGAAAAUUACAGUAGCCUUUACCUGUCCUCCAGCUCCUGCCUCGCCCCUACUCAAUUGAUUUUCCAGACAGGAAAUAGGUCAUUUGGUUGUUUGCUCGCACAAAGCUUUAAAAUAUUAAUUACAUCUUGUCAUUUGUCCACUCCAACCCUCCAAAAGAUUCUCGUCUCACUCAGAGUAAAGCCAGAGUCUUAGGAUGGUUUACUUUCCAUCCUGCUGUCCCUUCCUUCAAGGAGUUCAUCGGCUUCCUCACUGCUCCUGAACAGUUCUCCGUCCUCUGACACGGCUAUCUUUUUAUUUUUGCAUGCUAUAUAUUCAGCUCUCCUUUUUUUAUUGUUGUCCUUUUCAUUGCUGUAUCCCACACAUCCAGUGGCCCCUGGAACAUAGCAUGCACCAUGAAUUCCAAUUCUGGCCAUCAAGGCGCUGAUUCCCUGUCUCUUCCCUUCAUUGUGUCAGCCAUCUUGGAGGCCUUCCCAGUUACCUGAGCCUACAAAUUCCCCUUUCUUACUUAAGCUAGUUUAAGUUGUGUUGGAGUGAUGCCAUUUUUAAACCUGGAAAUUUAGGACAGAGCUGAAAAUCUCUAAGGAUGAAAUAAAUUGAUUUCCCCCCAAGCGUUUGAUGUUGGCUCAACCUAAAUACUCUAAAGUUGCUAAUAGUUGAACCCCCCCCCAAAAGCUUAGAGGUUAUUCAUAUUUUUCAUAAUAUCAUUUCUUCUUAAACAGUGUGCUCUUAAAAUUUUUGCUACAUUCUUAAAAGUGAGUCUUAGCGUGUCUUAGGGUGAGCAUUCUUCUACAGGAAUUUAUGUCUGAAAUCAAACCUAAUUCAAUGAGCAAAUGGGGUUCAAUUUAGAAAACAUCUGUGUAUGGUCAACUUUUCAGAUAGGGAACUCUUUUGUGAAAUGAGAAAACACUGUGG
ensembl:lncRNA